GUUGAUGGGGGUUACCAGCUGAGAAUUAGGCGUCUUGAGGGUACCCCUAAUUAUGGUCCCCGACAGUUUUAUAAGCAAAACACAAUGUUCAAACUCGCAUAAUGGACAUGCUAUUUUUGUCCAUCGAGGAAUCUGACAGCCAAACAUUGUGCAUUUAGCUCAAAAGGAAUUAUAAGUCAAUGAUCUUGUCUUCCUUUGUUAGCACUAUACAAAUUAUGUUUUAAUUAAUAGUCAGUUGAAGUUAGAGCUUAAACUAUUUUGGUCUGUCCAUUUAGCUCAACCUUCUUUUGGCUAGGAAUAUACAAAUGUCUUGUAAGCCGGACUCCUCCAUGGGUCGGUAUAUAGUCCCGUAAGGACUUCUGUGCUUAAAUCUAUAGUUUUAGCAUGGUUUCUUGUAUUGUGUACACGAGACUGACACAAAACUAUUAAUCGUUUUAUACUAUUUGGGAUUUCUUUGGAAAGGUUAUUUGAGAAAUCGUGUAUGCUUGUUUUGUAAAAUUAGAAGGAAAAGAGAACAACUACGAAGUGUAUGGGGUUGCUAUUUACUUUGCAUGCAAUUUAGACAGUGUUUGACUGCCCUGCAUGAUGAUGUUGCUAUUUACUUUACGUGCAUUUUGACUAACGAUUUGUUGCUAUGUUCCUGAGGAUCUAUGGAUAUCUGCUUUCCUGUUGGUACUAAGGAAACCAACAAGAAAUUUUGGACUGCUACCUGGAUUAAUGCUCGAGAAAAAGGUGCAUGACAUCAAUAUUACUAUUCUAUUUGUUCUAUAGAACCUUAUGUGGAAACGUGCAUUACACAGUCCCAGCCUCCUAGAGACUAUAGAUUUUCAUUCACUACACUAAACCAGUUAACUUCCUUUCACACCGGUGCACCCAAGACAUGGUAUGCAGUCCCUAGGGACCGAGCCUCAGAGCUAGAGGAAGUUAUUCGUGUACAUGGAUAUGGAGGAAACCCUGACCGCCUUGCAUCGCUGGCAGUGCUUGGGGAGAAGACAACAUUGAUGUCUCCAGAUGUUCUUGUAGCCCGUGGUGUGCCCUGCUGUAGGUUAGUACUGUAUCCUGGAGAGUUUGUGGUGACAUUCCCAAGGGCAUACCACAUUGGGUUUAGUCAUGGAUGUAAGGAGGGCGUCCACAGGCUACGCCAUGCCUCCACCUCCGCAGAUCACGCCUACCUUGCCCCGCCCGCGACAGCCUGCAAGCAUUAAUGAAGUUAUCUGUUUUGCAAUAACUAUGUGGAGCAGUUUGAUCAUCACUGUCCAUGGGUCGGCCGGUGCAUAGGACUGAUUUUCAUUCACUACACUAAACCAGUUAACUUCCUUUCACACCGGUGCACCCAAGACAUGGUAUGCAGUCCCUAGGGACCGAGCCUCAGAGCUAGAGGAAGUUAUUCGUGUACAUGGAUAUGGAGGAAACCCUGACCGCCUUGCAUCGCUGGCAGUGCUUGGGGAGAAGACAACAUUGAUGUCUCCAGAUGUUCUUGUAGCCCGUGGUGUGCCCUGCUGUAGGUUAGUACUGUAUCCUGGAGAGUUUGUGGUGACAUUCCCAAGGGCAUACCACAUUGGGUUUAGUCAUGGAUGUAAGGAGGGCGUCCACAGGCUACGCCAUGCCUCCACCUCCGCAGAUCACGCCUACCUUGCCCCGCCCGCGACAGCCUGCAAGCAUUAAUGAAGUUAUCUGUUUUGCAAUAACUAUGUGGAGCAGUUUGAUCAUCACUGUCCAUGGGUCGGCCGGUGCAUAGGACUGGUGAUAACUCCAGUGCACAAGAAUCCGCUGAACAGGGUGGCGUUGAGCUGUAUGCAGAGGUGAACAACCAUGGGCUCUGCGCUAUUGCCCAGGCUGAGUCGUCUGCUAUAAGGUUCUCGGUGGACUCGCCAUGAGAAGGGCAUGUUAUGGUGUUCUCUGGUUUGUCAUCGAGAAUAGCUCUUUCUCUUCGGUCAAGGGUUUCACCAAUGGCUUGUAACAACUGGAUGUAGAAUGAUUUUUGUUUUUUUAACUGAUGUAGUGUGUUUUUGCAUUACACUCCAUUGCGGCUAUGGGGGCAGCACAUGUAGUGUGUAGUCAUCGUGAAUUUAAUAGUAACUAGCUCUGCAGUUGUGAUUGGUU